UAUGAAGGGGGCUAGCGUUGCUCGGAAUCACUGGGCGUAAAGCGCACGUAGGCGGAUCUUUAAGUCAGGGGUGAAAUCCUGGAGCUCAACUCCAGAACUGCCUUUGAUACUGGGGAUCUCGAGUCCGGAAGAGGUGAGUGGAACUCCGAGUGUAGAGGUGAAAUUCGUAGAUAUUCGGAAGAACACCAGUGGCGAAGGCGGCUCACUGGUCCGGUACUGACGCUGAGGUGCGAAAGCGUGGGGAGCAAACAGG
rnacentral:rRNA from 1 species